CAGUAGCCGCGGGAAUACAGAUGGUGCGAGCGUUAAUCGGAUUUACUGGGCGUAAAGCGUGCGUAGGCGGCUUUUUAAGUCGGAUGUGAAAUCCCUGAGCUUAACUUAGGAAUUGCAUUCGAUACUGGGAAGCUAGAGUAUGGGAGAGGAUGGUAGAAUUCCAGGUGUAGCGGUGAAAUGCGUAGAGAUCUGGAGGAAUACCGAUGGCGAAGGCAGCCAUCUGGCCUAAUACUGACGCUGAGGUACGAAAGCAUGGGGAGCAAACAGGAUUAGAUACCCGAGUAGUCCCUGUCUCUUAUAA
rnacentral:rRNA from 1 species